CUUAAUGAGACUGCCGGUGACAAACCGGAGGAAGGUGGGGAUGACGUCAAGUCCUCAUGGCCCUUAUAGGUAGGGCUACACACGUCAUACAAUGGAUGGUACAAAGGGUCGCCAACCCGCGAGGGGGAGCCAAUCCCAUAAAACCAUUCGUAGUCCGGAUCGCAGUCUGCAACUCGACUGCGUGAAGUCGGAAUCGCUAGUAAUCGUGGAUCAGAAUGUCACGGUGAAUACGUUCCCGGGUCUU
rnacentral:rRNA from 1 species